CCAGCCCUGGGCAGGGCCCAGCUGCCCUGCUGCCAGCCCCUCAGCUGGUGCAGAGCCUGGCCCCACAUGCCCAGCGUACUUGCCGAGUGGACGGAGGAAGGACCUCGUGGCCCUGGUCUCUGGGGACCAGGAAAGCAGAUGGCUUCCACGUGAGGAGGCUGAUGCCAGCGCCUGCUCCCAAAGGAAGCCAUCGGCCAGAUGCCAUGCCAGUGGGGAGCCCGGGAGCUGUGGCAGCCGAUGCAGGAACCAGGGAGGGACUGUGCCCGGCUGCAGGUCAUACUCUUCGUGGCCUCCCCAGCGGCUGGUGCUGUAAAGUGGACACCCACUGGACAUUGGAGUGAGGAGCACCGUGACCAUAGAGGUGGGCACUAGCUCAUGUCACCCCAGCGUUCAAGGCACCAGACCAGCCGCAGCCCUGUCCUGUCAUUUGAGGCACACAGGCAGCCGCCAGCGAGGCCGCGCUGUUCACCUCCUCUGCAGAUGAGGUGCCUUGCCGGUCUCAGGCAGGAAAAGAAAACAAUGAAACAUUCUGGCCACAAGGGCGAAGUGCAGUUCAUUUGGAUUGUUUCCUGUGCCCAAGAUGAGUAUAUGAACCGUGAAGAAAAUGAGAGUAGAAACCGUCCCAAGUCAGAUAGCAGAAACUACAGUGGCUGCUGAUGUUGAGAUUAUUGUUAAACUGUAAUUAACAAUUUGGGUGGCAGUAUUCAUCUCUGUGUUGUAAACUCUGACAUCUGAAUUGUUUAAGUAUAAUUUAUAAAACUUCAGUGCAGUCAAUUCUUCAUGGAGAACCUGAAACCUAAAUUGCAGACUUAAAAGGUACUGCAUAGCCAUUGUGUCUGUGAAUAACUUCACUUAGCACCUUCUUGUCACCCAGAACAGUGUGAAACACAACCUGAGUGAGCCCUUUGGCAAGGACGAGUUCUAGUGUUUGCUUGGUACUGAACUGAAUCUUCAGCUCUGCCCUAGACAUUUGCACUACAGUAGCCCAGUGCAUUCUGUGGCCUUGUGCUACUGUGCUCUGUUCCGCUGGGGCUGGCGAAUGUCUUUAGUUUCCUUACCAGCUGCUACUGAAGGCUGUUUUCUAUCCCUGUGGCUACUGCCAAGCUACAAAAGAGAAAAACUGUAUUUGUAUGCAACACUAAUUCUUUAACUGCGAAUGUAUGUUUCUGCUUGCUAUGCCUUGUCAUGGCUGCUUUUUUUGUGCUAAUAAAGUAUAUUUGGUGUUAAAAAUAAUGGCUGGGGAUGUGGCUCAGUGCGAAGGCCCUGGGUUGAAUCUCCCAGUGCCACACACACACACCUUGCACGCACAUUCCAGAGCUAGGGUAAAAGAACCCUGAGUCCCGAGAUUGCCCUGUAGCUGCUCUAUGUCCUGGUGUGGAAAGAUCUCC
rnacentral:lncRNA from 1 species